rnacentral:rRNA from 1 species
CUGUAAGCCUGUGAAGGUGUACUGUGAGGUAUGCUGGAGGUAUCAGAAGUGCGAAUGCUGACAUAAGUAACGAUAAAGCGGGUGAAAAGCCCGCUCGCCGGAAGACCAAGGGUUCCUGUCCAACGUUAAUCGGGGCAGGGUGAGUCGACCCCUAAGGCGAGGCCGAAAGGCGUAGUCGAUGGGAAACAGGUUAAUAUUCCUGUACUUGGUGUUACUGCGAAGGGGGGACGGAGAAGGCUAUGUUGGCCGGGCGACGGUUGUCCCGGUUUAAGCGUGUAGGCUGGUUUUCCAGGCAAAUCCGGAAAAUCAAGGCUGAGGCGUGAUGACGAGGCACUACGGUGCUGAAGCAACAAAUGCCCUGCUUCCAGGAAAAGCCUCUAAGCAUCAGGUAACAUCAAAUCGUACCCCAAACCGACACAGGUGGUCAGGUAGAGAAUACCAAGGCGCUUGAGAGAACUCGGGUGAAGGAACUAGGCAAAAUGGUGCCGUAACUUCGGGAGAA